rnacentral:rRNA from 1 species
UACGAAGGGUGCAAGCGUUACUCGGAAUUACUGGGCGUAAAGCGUGCGUAGGUGGUUCGUUAAGUCUGAUGUGAAAGCCCUGGGCUCAACCUGGGAAUGGCAUUGGAAACUGGCGAUCUAGAGUGCGGUAGAGGGUAGUGGAAUUCCCGGUGUAGCAGUGAAAUGCGUAGAGAUCGGGAGGAACAUCUGUGGCGAAGGCGACUGCCUGGACCAGCACUGACACUGAGGCGCGAAAGCGUGGGGAGCGAACAGG